AUACNAGCGCAANCUWAAAAUCCAAANGACUUGACNGUGUCCCACCCAACCAUAGAGGAGCCUGUUCUAUAAUCGAUAAUCCUCGUUAUACCCGACCACUUCUUGCUUUUCAGCCUGUAUACCUCCGUCGCAAGCCUACCGUAUGAAUGCCCAACAGUAGGUUUAAUGAUUUACCAUCAACACGUCAGGUCAAGGUGCAGCCUAUGGAGUGGAAAGCAAUGGGCUACAAUUUCUAACUNAGAACAAACGGAAUUCUACAUGAAACAUAGUCAUGAAGGCGGAUUUAGCAGUAAAAGGAAAAUAGAAUGUUCCUUUUAAUAGAGCUCUGGGACUUGUACNCACCGCCCGUCACC
rnacentral:rRNA from 1 species